rnacentral:lncRNA from 1 species
AUUCUAGAAUUGGGAGGUAAUAGAAAAGAGAGAAAUGGGAAAGUUGCUCAAAUGCAAGUCCAGUGAAUCAGAGAGAAAAGGCUCAAAGCAGCAGAACAAAGCUUCAAUAAAGAGAUAUUGUGACUUGGAGAGAUGGCCUUUUGUCCUUUGUUCUAUUACCAGUCAGAGGAUGGGGAGCACACCCGAGCCUGAGACAACAGCUCUGCUAAGUGCCCUUGAGAGGGCACGGUGGGGUCAGCACCAAAGUCAGACCACUAAAGAGAAAAAGAGAGAAAGACAGGAUUGCAGAGGAGAAAUGAGAAUGGCAGAAAAAAUAAUUUUUUAAGCCAAAAGGAAUCAGAGAAGAGCAGAAGUGCCUCUAGGAUAAAGCGUAGCAGGCAGUUAGGGAAAAAGGGCUGUUAACUACCUUGAAGCUCUGACUACAUUAGAAAGCCUCGCAAGACAGUCGUUGCUUGCACGGGCAGGUAGAGAACUUUUCCUGUCCAUUGUUCUUCUGAAUUAUAAAUCACUGACCUCUUUAUGAUUUCUAAAGGGAAAAUGACUUCAAGCUUCUUAGAGUUCCCCUAAGGCAUUCUCUAUAUUCAAUAUAAUAUGGGAAGCCCUGGGUUUGUCUUUGUAUGUUUCAUCUGCAGUGACCUGAAAUCUUCAUAACCCUCUUCCUUUCUCCACUUAUCAACUAAGGGGUGGUUGGCAAUAAGGAUGGGUGGGAGAGAAAAAAAAACAGAAUUUGAGGAGGAGAGCAUUUAAACCAUCAGACUGUGUGUUCUGUGACAUCAAAGACUGGCAACAUUCUAAAGGAAAAGCAGCUGUGAAGUCAUAAUUAUGUUCACUUCCCACUGGCAACUGGCAAGCCCUUUAUUUUUGUGCAUUCGGAACUCACCAAGAAUAAAUAAAGUCCAUUCCCUCCUUGAGGGGCUAUUCUGCCAUUCCAUCUAGGAUUUAAAAGUUUGCCAAUUCCUAAAACAUCUAUUGUUAUCAAUAGUCUUGUGUCUUUCACAAAGCGGACUUUACAAAAUAAGUUAACAGGCCAUGAGAGGAACAGUCACACAUACCAAGAAAGGUACAUACGGAGAUAAUUCCAAUCAAAGUGAGCACAGCCUACGCAUAAACAGGAUUUUCCAAGAAAAAAGCAUUAAAGUGCCAUAGAAUAUUAAAGAGCAAUUAAAAGAAUGAAGAUCUCUUCAUAUGCUGGAUAGGCGGAGUGACCCAGCAAUCAUAUGGACACCAUCCAUUCCAGUGACACUCAAACUUCAGCGUGCAUCAGAAUCCCUGCAAGGCUUGCUAAGACACAGACUGCUGCGCCUACCUCAGAGUUCCUGAUUCAUCAAGCUUGAAGUAAGGCCUGAGAUUUUUGCAUUACUAACAAGUCUUCAGGUGAUACCAAUGCUGCUGAUCUGGAGACUGCCUUUGAGAGCCACUAUUCUAUCUCUUUCCCAAUCAACUGUCCUUUCUCACCUCCCUUUUAAAUCUCCAGCACCUGCUCCCUCAUGUUUACUCUCAAUGCACAAUCUUUUUUUCUCCUUCACUGACAGAAGUGAAACAAUUAAAAGAGAAUUUCCCCAGUCUCUCACUACUGCACCUGCUCACCCUCCCACAAGCACGUGUACUCACUGUGCUUUUCUUGCUGUUUUGAAAGGUGAAUUGUCUGUGGUCUUUCUAGAGCCAAUCUCUUCACAUGUGCACCAGAUUCCAAGACCUGCGGCCCACUCAAGGGCAUCCUGCAUGUCUUCUCCCAUCUCUUACCUUGUCAACUCUUUCCACUUUUUGAGUCAUCCUCCUCAGCACAAAAGAUUGUUACUCACUUAUCUUAAAAAGUAAAAGACUAAAC